AGUUCCCCAGCCUGGCCCUGGAGAAAGGUAAGUGGCUGAAGGGGUUUUAACCCCUUCAGCCCAGCGGGAGGUGGGCCCUGAGGGUGGGGGGCACCUAAUGACCCGAUAGUGCCAGGAAAACAAAUUUGUUUUCCUGGCACUAUAGUGGUCAUUUAAGUAGUCUAAACUUAAUCUAAAUUAACUUAUGUUGCCUUAAGCAGUCUAAACUGCCCCUCAAGCAGUCUAAGCUUCAUCUAAAUUAAGUUAUGGUGCCAGUUUAACCCUAAGUUUCCUCAUCCUCCACUUGCCCCUCAGACGACAUCCAGCUUCAGAAAUGUCACUUUCAGGGUGCACGUAAUGUCGCCGGGCAGGGGCUCUAAGCCAAUGAGGAAUCCCAAUUCACAAAACUGGCUUGGAAAAGGUGCGUUCCAAGCCAGUUUUAUUUCGGUGUCUUGCAUG